CUGGAUGAAGACUCAGAGGCCUCCAGUCUGAGGAAACAGGACCAGCUGAGGAAUUGGCAAGGAUGGUGUUACAUAUCAAAUGCUGUAAAUGCAAAGGCAAAUGAUCCAGGUCAUUUCACUCAGAUGGAAACACCAACUUGGACUACUAACAACAAAUGGAGUCUGCUAAAGCAGCAGAAGCCAGCACACACAGUGGCCAGUGUCACCUCUCUCUCAGACGCCUGAGGAGAGGACAUGCUCAGAACGGGCUGGGCCAACAAGAUGGUGACACUGGUGUCUCCAGGACCCACACAGCAGCAGGAGAGGACCAAUUCCCACAGAGAGAAGCUCGAGAGCAUGCAAAGUCCCCAUGCAUACACAGGAAUAAAUACAUGUCGUUUUAAAAAAACAAAUAAAAUUUGUUCUAA